rnacentral:miRNA from 11 species
UCCUCCCCUAUUGAAAUCAAU